ACGGGGUGCAGCAGGCGCGAAACCUUUACAAUGCGGGCAACCGUGAUAAGGGAACCUCGAGUGCCUGUAAACGCAGGCUGUUCAGGCGUUUAAAACGCACCUGGAGAAAGGGCCGGGCAAGACCGGUGCCAGCCGCCGCGGUAAUACCGGCGGCUCGAGUGGUGGCCGCUUUUAUUGGGCUUAAAGCGUUCGUAGCUGGGUUGUUAAGUCUCUUGGGAAAUCUGGCGGCUUAACCGUCAGGCGUCUAAGGGAUACUGGCAAUCUUGGAACCGGGAGAGGUGAGGGGUACUUCGGGGGUAGGGGUGAAAUCCUGUAAUCCUCGAGGGACCACCUGUGGCGAAGGCGCCUCACCAGAACGGCUUCGACAGUGAGGGACGAAAGCUGGGGGAGCAAACCGGAUUAGAUACCCGGGUAGUCCCAGCCGUAAACGAUGCGCGUUAGGUGUAUCGGUGACCACGAGUUACCGAGGUGCCGAAGGGAAACCGUGAAACGCGCCGCCUGGGAAGUACGGUCGCAAGGCUGAAACUUAAAGGAAUUGGCGGGGGAGCAC
rnacentral:rRNA from 1 species